rnacentral:lncRNA from 1 species
GUGAGCUCUGUUAGGGUAAAUGGAAACACGUCUGAGCCCACCCGAGCAGGCAAAAAUGAAGCAACAAGCGAGCUUUUAUUUUCAGCCUGGGUGCAGGAUGUGUGAAGGUGUUACCUGGGAAGUUUUUCUCUUCUGCCCAGGAGAGGGUCUGACAAGUUCUAAGCCAGCCUGGGUUACAUGCUGAGUUCAAGGCCAGCCUGAAAUGUAUAUUGAGACUCUGUCUCAAAAAAACAAGACAAAACAACAAAAACAACAAGCAAAUAAAAAAAAAAUCCUGGACAUAUGGGGAGAACUUUAUAUUUUACUUUAAA